GACGUAGGGGGCGAGCGUUGUCCGGAUUUAUUGGGCGUAAAGCGUGCGUAGGCGGCUGCGCAAGUCGGGUGUGAAACCCCGGGGCUCAACCCCGGAACUGCAUCCGAUACUGCGUGGCUAGAGGUAGGUAGGGGAGAUCGGAAUUCCUGGUGUAGCGGUGAAAUGACGCAGAUAUCAGGAGGAACACCGGUGGCGAAGGCGGAUCUCUGGGCCUUACCUGACGCUCAGGCACGAAAGCUAGGGAGCGAACGGG
rnacentral:rRNA from 1 species